CACGUACAUAUUUCAUAUGUUUAUUUUUCUUAGAAAACAUUGCGGCUGUUUACGUCCAUUAAUUUACAUAUAUUUAUUCUUACUGCGGUAUCAUUUAUAAUAAUACUUCCACCUCUAUAGCACCUCCUCUUCAAGGAUCUCCAAUUGCUUAAAAACGUCAAUAAAUAAAGCCUCACAUCUUGCCCGUGAGGUAGGUCACACUGCUAUCAAACUUUACAGAUGCGGUAACUGAAAACAGAGAGGUUAAGGCCAACAUUUUUGAACAUUUGUACCUGAAGUCGAGCAUCUGAAUUGCCAUUUAGAUGCUGAAAUAAAAGUCUCGUGGUUUUCUUUGGUGCAGAACAUCCACAACUACUGCUGCAGUGAGGGGCUCGCAGGCAGGCCUGCCGCUGGAGGCUCAGCUCUGCACGGCCAACAAAGGGCUCCACGUCUGAACACUGCUCUAAAACACACAGCCCACAGCAGAGCCAGAACUCAGCGCAGGGAUUUACCUCCUCAGGGCCUCUCUAUUAUUAAAUACGACUUUAAAAGGCUGGUGUGGAUCGGGUAAAUCAACUUAAGCGACACGAAAGCCAUGGGCUACUUCCACAAACUGCGCCUUUUUGGUUCUCUUUCUUUGCGAGGGGGUGUUUUUCACAGCUUUGUGAUAACGAAGACAACGCACGGCACACGUCACUCGUGCAGUCCUAAAACACAGCACACAUCUCCACUUGCUGCCUUUACGUUUCUACAGAGUAAAUUCCUUUGCGCGUGUGAUAAAUAGGAGUGGCCGAUAAAGGGCUAUGAGGAUACGUGUCAGAAGUCAUGCACACAGCUUGCAACACACAGAUUAAAAGAUCACCGUUAAAGUUCUUGAGUUUAAGCACAACAGCAACUACCUCAUUCCAAUACAGUACUGUGUAGAAACACGGAAUAAGAAGCACUGCCUUAUUCCCGACGUCGUUAGGACCAGCCGUACGGCACUACAUUUUGCACCACGUUAUGAGCGUCUCAUCACAUCUCCAACACAUCCCUGCACGUUUCCUGCUGACCUCUAUGGAAACUUCUCAGGCAGAAGAGAAACUCCCCACGAGGGGAAAAGCCACCGCCUCACGGCAGCUGCCUGGACCACAGCUUCUAUGUGCACCGGUCAACUUCAUAACAAGAAAAAUAGGCAACGCAUACAGCAUCGCGAUGCCGCUCCGCUCCCAACGCCAGCGCAGACCUCCGAUUAUCUUCCAGGUGGGGGCAACAGUAAGCCACUUUUCUUCCACACGCGUUCCGUCCCGCCUCACCGAGCGGGCAGCGGUUGCCGGCGCCCCGCUCCGGGCAUCACCGGCCCCACCCGCCCG
rnacentral:lncRNA from 1 species